GCAGCUCUAGUGGUAGCAGUUUUUAUUGGGCCUAAAGCGUCCGUAGCCGGUUUAAUAAGUCUCUGGUGAAAUCCUGUAGCUUAACUGUGGGAAUUGCUGGAGAUACUAUUAGACUUGAGACCGGGAGAGGUUAGAGGUACUCCCAGGGUAGAGGUGAAAUUCUGUAAUCCUGGGAGGACCGCCUGUUGCGAAGGCGUCUAACUGGAACGGUUCUGACGGUGAGGGACGAAAGUUAGGGGCGCGAACCGGAUUAGAUACCCGGGUAGUCCUAACCGUAAACGAUGCGGACUUGGUGUUGGGGUGGCUUUGAGCUGCUCCAGUGCCGAAGGGAAGCUGUUAAGUCCGCCGCCUGGGAAGUACGGUCGCAAGACUGAAACUUAA
rnacentral:rRNA from 1 species